AUUGAACGCUGGCGGCAUGCUUUACACAUGCAAGUCGAACGGUAACAGGUUAAGCUGACGAGUGGCGAACGGGUGAGUAAUGCAUCGGAACGUGCCCGGUCGUGGGGGAUAACGCAGCGAAAGCUGCGCUAAUACCGCAUACGAUCUGAGGAUGAAAGCGGGGGACCGUAAGGCCUCGCGCGAUCGGAGCGGCCGAUGUCAGAUUAGGUAGUUGGUGGGGUAAAGGCCCACCAAGCCGACUAUCUGUAGCUGGUCUGAGCGGACGAACAGCCACACUGGGACUGAGACACGGCCCAGACUCCUACGGGAGGCAGCAGUGGGGAAUUUUGGACAAUGGGCGAAAGCCUGAUCCAGCAAUGCCGCGUGCAGGAAGAAGGCCUUCGGGUUGUAAACUGCUUUUGUACGGAGCGAAAAGGUCCUUUCUAAUACAAGGGGCUCAUGACGGUACCGUAAGAAUAAGCACCGGCUAACUACGUGCCAGCAGCCGCAGUAA
rnacentral:rRNA from 1 species